rnacentral:hammerhead_ribozyme from 1 species
AUCCAGCUGACGAGUCCUAAAUAGGACGAAACGUACAUCCUAGAU